rnacentral:misc_RNA from 1 species
GAUGAAGAACGUAGCGAAAUGCGAUAAGUAAUGUGAAUUGCAGAAUUCAGUGAAUCAUCGAAUCUUUGAACGCACAUUGCGCCCCCUGGUAUUCCGGGGGGCAUGCCUGUUCGAGCGUCAUUUCACCACUCAAGCCUCGCUUGGUAUUGGGCAACGCGGUCCGCCGCGUGCCUCAAAUCGACCGGCUGGGUCUUCUGUCCCCUAAGCGUUGUGGAAACUAUUCGCUAAAGGGUGUUCGGGAGGCUACGCCGUAAAACAACCCCAUUUCUAGGGUUGACCUCGGAUCAGGUAGGGAUACCCGCUGAACUUAAGCAUAUCAAUAAGCGGAGGA